rnacentral:rRNA from 1 species
UACAGGAGGGUUAAGUUUUUUCACAGGUGACGCACACGCCGAGACGAAAUGAACUACAUACAUAGCCUAUCUGAUCGAAACGGAGUGGUGUGGUGUGGUAACGGUGAGAGCAGGAGGAGGUCAGGCCGGAGGCGACAUAACCUGACGUGGCCGCGGCCACGGCCGGCCCGACGUCUGGCCAGCUGAGGAAGCGGAACGGGCCGGAGGAGCGUCUGUGCCGAAACCUCUAAGUUUCUUAAAUGCAAUGAUCUGUUAAGUACGUAUAUACUUCAGGAUGAACAUCCACUCGGAUCGUCACGAUAAGAAUACACGUCAUACCGUGCCUGUUGACGUCUAGUCCGUUACCGCUGUGCAUUCAACCAGCAUUUCCAGCAGCCACGAGUGCCGGACCGUGUGUCGUUCUCCCCAAAUGGGUCACGUAAACAACACGAAAGCAAACUAAGAGUCGUCAAGGCGUGCUCACAGUUCCUCUUAUUACUCUUGGGCCAUACCUUGCUGUGGAAGACGAAGUUGCACAACCUAGCUGGGUUCUAAGUACUCGAUCAAGAAGUUCAAACACACAUACUGUGGUUAUGCAGACAAGUUCCGCUUUACAGAAACUAACCUUUUCAGUUUCAUUUACCCCGGAGUAAGGCCGGGACACUGUUUCCUGGUAGUUUAAUAGGCGACUCCGAACCCUUACAAUUUGUAUGUACCGCGUAUGCACUGUCUUCUCCUAGAAGUCUCUAUCAAGUCUCCAUCAAAUUGAUCCUAUACUAUAGAUAAGCCAACAUUGGUUCAGAUAGAGAACGAAAAGAAAGAGGAGUUCAACAUAGGACUAAGAGAGAAUAGAAGAGUUGGUUGAGUACAUACGCGGAGUCCCAAUAACGCGGGGACGAUAUAUUGUGCAUCGUGCAGCGGGUUCUAUCCCAUUCUGCAAAGGCGGUAGCGUGUCCCUUCUAUAUAGCUUACCGCCUUUACCACACAGACUAACGCUCGUCUCCGUUUAACCCAGACUUAAAUAUGUAGUUCCUACUUGGGAGGUGGUCUCGAGUUCUUGGGUUAUAACGAUCGAAUAUGAGUGGCGGAUACCGGAACAUACACCUCCAGCAUUCACGAGUACAGGAGUUCGGGUACCUGUCCGUUCCGAGACGUUCAUGAAAACAACUCCAGUGGAAACUAAUACAGGCCAAGGCGUGCCGAUAGUUCCAGUCCCUAGCAAUGGGCCACACCUUGCUCACCAAGAUGAAGUUACAUACCCCGGGUAGAAGAGAAACAUUAGAACUAUAAUUUCGUAAGCAGAUGGUACAGGUGUCAAGCAGGUUUGCAAGGUUAUGGAAUGAACCGUUCCAGUUUUAAAGACCCUGGUUUACGUCCGUAGAGGUGCCUCUGUUCCAUUGAAUAGGUAAUCUCUUCGGAUGUCACAACAGCAUGCACGUUCCCCUAAACUCAGAUUUUCAUAUGUGGUAACUAUUGGGAAGGUACCCUUAAUGUUGGGGACGAGGCGAGUACCUACCACAUUAUAACGUGUUGGUCUCAAGUUCUGGUGUAGUAAAACGUAAUGUUAUAAACUUUUUUUAGUGUUUAUUGAAGAGGCUUCUCUCUAAUUAACCGGUUCCACCAAGACCACACCAUAUAUUCCAUUGUAAUGUAACAUUGUAAAGGACAUAAAUAAAACAAACUUUGAAACAGACGGAAAGUUACAUUGAUCUAAACUAUAUUCCGUGCACACAUAUUUAUUCUAUGAAAAUUUGUCCCACACCAAGUUUUACCUCUAUAAUAACGACACUUCUUCUAGAACGGCAGUAAGUACGGUCCGCUCGUCUUCGUUAAACUCUUGCUCUAGUCAGUAGAGUGCUACGAACUGGUGAGGUUAUAUCACGCCCAACAUCCGAUGACGAUACUUCAUUUCUUUCUUGAAUAUCUUAUGCUACCCUCUUUACAAAAACGUCUGUACCUCCUUUUCAAUCAAACGAAGCUCAUAGAUGGGUUACCUUCAGAACUAUUGAUAUAUAGUCUACUUAGCUGACCUGAACUAACCUCGUGUGCAAUAUUAUAAUAGCUCCCCUAGACGUUCCCAAAUUAAAUGGAAGUGCACGUUUUACUAUUCGGAUAAUAAGUGAAACUGGAAUUUGGACGUUUGUAUAACGAGCCGUUUCCAUACUAUGGUUUUUAACGUCUGAAGCCAGACAGUUCUGACGUACUAGUUGUUGUCAGUUAAAUGUGUUGUAGGGCAGAACCUUGUGCACCAAUGUACCGUGCCCUCAAGCACCUACUUCCUUUUUAAUGUGAUGUCAAUCUGUAUAAGUCAAACCCACAUUAUUAAAACCUCCAUCAUUAUCCUGUAUCCGUGAUGGGCCUGCAAUAAUGUCUUUGUAGAAGCCUACUAAAAUAGUUCGAACGCGAACUCUUUACCUCUUCACAUGUUUCCAGUGGCCCCUUACUUAGGCUUUUUGGUCUGAUGCUUCUUUAUUUCUCUACGGAUGUCCAGCCAGACAACACACAUUUAGUACUGGUGCGGUUCUCUGGUGGCUAUUGCUUCCAAUACUUAUACGAGGUUCCUAGUCUUUAAUAACUGAGGUUGUAGUCGUUACCCCUUCGUCGCAUUAGCCGUCCGGUACAUAUUGACUACUGAAUUGACAAUACGCAACAAAUCACAAACAUAACAG